ACGGGAGGCAGCAGUGGGGAAUAUUGCACAAUGGGGGAAACCCUGAUGCAGCGACGCCGUGUGAGUGAAGAAGUAUUUCGGUAUGUAAAGCUCUAUCAGCAGGGAAGAAAAUGACGGUACCUGACUAAGAAGCCCCGGCUAACUACGUGCCAACAGCCGCGGUAAUACGUAGGGGGCAAGCGUUAUCCGGAUUUACUGGGUGUAAAGGGAGCGUAGGCGGCGAUGCAAGUCUGAUGUGAAAGCCCGGGGCUCAGCCCCGGCACUGCAUUGGAAACUGUGUUGCUAGAGUGCAGGAGAGGUAAGUGGAAUUCCUAGUGUAGCGGUGAAAUGCGUAGAUAUUAGGAGGAACACCAGUGGCGAAGGCGGCUUACUGGACUGUAACUGACGUUGAGGCUCGAAAGUGUGGGUAGCAAACAGGAUUAGAUACCCUGGUA
rnacentral:rRNA from 1 species